GGGCCCGCACAAGCGGAGGAACAUGUGGUUUAAUUCGAUGAUACGCGAGGAACCUUACCCGGGCUUGAAUUGCAGAGGAAUGUCGUGGAAACAUGGCAGCUAGUAAUAGUCUCUGUGAAGGUGCUGCAUGGUUGUCGUCAGCUCGUGCCGUGAGGUGUCGGCUUAAGUGCCAUAACGAGCGCAACCCUCAUAUUCAGUUACUAACAGGUUAAGCUGAGGACUCUGGAUAGACUGCCGUCGUAAGAUGUGAGGAAGGUGGGGAUGACGUCAAAUCAGCACGGCCCUUACGUCCGGGGCGACACACGUGUUACAAUGGGGGGUACAGAAGGUUGCUACACAGCGAUGUGAUGCUAAUCCCAAAAGCCUCUCUCAGUUCGGAUCGAAGUCUGCAACCCGACUUCGUGAAGCUGGAUUCGCUAGUAAUCGCGCAUCAGCCAUGGCGCGGUGAAUACGUUCCCGGGCCUU
rnacentral:rRNA from 1 species